rnacentral:rRNA from 1 species
UCGGUAGGGAUGUAUUUAUUAGAUUAAAAACCAAUGCCCUCCGGGGCUCCUUGGUGAUUCAUGAUAACUCCUCGAAUCGCAUGGCCUUGCGCCGGCGAUGGUUCAUUCAAAUUUCUUCCCUAUCAACUUUCGAUGUUUGGGUCUUGGCCAAACAUGGUUGCAACGGGUAACGGAGGGUUAGGGCUCGACCCCGGAGAAGGAGCCUGAGAAACGGCUACUACAUCCAAGGAAGGCAGCAGGCGCGCAAAUUACCCAAUCCCGACACGGGGAGGUAGUGACAAUAAAUACUGAUACAGGGCUCUUUUGGGUCUUGUAAUUGGAAUGAGUACAAUUUAAAUCCCUUAACGAGGAACAAUUGGAGGGCAAGUCUGGUGCCAGCAGCCGCGGUAAUUCCAGCU